rnacentral:lncRNA from 1 species
GCACCUGCUCAAUCAUGUUUGGAGGAUAGCUCAUUAUGUUAGGCCGUAGUCCCGGAUCACUUGGAAGAUUUAAUAAAUCAACCACUUUCGAAGAUGACUCAAGCUGAAGAUCAACUUCAAUAUUCACUUCUUUUGGUGAUGCUUCAGGUUCCACACGUGCAUUAGGACCAUUAAUCGUUGAAGAUGAACCCGCCCCACUUGUAGUAACUAUGUGAUUAUAAUAUCGUUUCAUUUUCAGCUACUUCCUGUGAAUAAAAAAUAUAUACAUUUCAGUCAAUAUAUAAACGCAUUAAUACCAACAAAUAUAUAAGGCAAAUCACCAAUCAAAUGAAGGGGGAUUGAACUAGGUAAUUACAAGAGUGCUCAACAAAUAUAUAAGGCAAAUCACCAAUCAAUUGAUUUAAACAUGUUGCAGUUCGGCAGUUCCCAUUUUUAAUUUCAAAGAAGAAGAAAACUAAUUCAGAUUUUAGAAGCGCAGAAGUGAGUCAACAUUCUUAAGCAUACAAACUUAUAUUUUUAAAACCAACAUGAAAUUAAAGCAAAAGACGUCGCACCGGAGAGAGACGACGCACCGGAGAGAGACGACGCACCGGAGAGAGAUUGCUGUCGACGGAGAGAGAUUGCCGGCGACGGCAUCGACAGGGGCAGCCUGGCAGCAGCCGGUAGAGAAGUUGGAAAGCGG